UCUUCGCAUUACAGAAGGUCCUUCAACUUCGAUGCUGUCAACCGUUGCUGUCGAUCAGCUGAGAGUACCUCGCCUUCAUUUGGCUCUUCAUAACCUGUUUCCACCAUAUCAAAGAACUCCUUUGAUCUGAGAAAAUUUUCCAUCAACAUCGCCCAAUGAUCAUAGUGACCGUCGAACCUCGGGAUGGCGGGCUGAACGUAGUUCUCAACUUGUUUUUCUGCUGCCAUUUUUGCUGCUGCAAGAUUGCUCUGAUACCAGUUGUUGGUGACAACAGAAAACUGAAUUAAUGGCUGCAAGAUUGCUCUGAUACCAGUUGUUGGUGACAACAGAAAACUGAAUUGAGAUUGAGAGAAGGAGUGAUUUGAGUGAUGGGGAGGGAGGUCCUUUUAUAGGGGGAUUCCCGGA